AGGCUAUUAGCUCAAAUGGUAGAACAAUGUGCAAAAUUAUGUACAUGGUGUGGGUUCAAAUCCCGCAUAGCCUA
rnacentral:tRNA from 1 species